rnacentral:rRNA from 1 species
CAGUAGCCGCGGUAAUACGUAGGUGGCAAGCGUUGUCCGGAAUUAUUGGGCGUAAAGGGCUCGCAGGCGGUUUCUUAAGUCUGAUGUGAAAGCCCCCGGCUCAACCGGGGAGGGUCAUUGGAAACUGGGAAACUUGAGUGCAGAAGAGGAGAGUGGAAUUCCACGUGUAGCGGUGAAAUGCGUAGAGAUGUGGAGGAACACCAGUGGCGAAGGCGACUCUCUGGUCUGUAACUGACGCUGAGGAGCGAAAGCGUGGGGAGCGAACAGGAUUAGAGACCCCCGUAGUCCCUGUCUCUAUACA